CAUCUUGUGUAUUAGUGUCCCUGCACUGAAAAAUGGUGGUGGGGGCGCUUUAACUAAAGCUUAGUCAACGAGCUUUAGUCAAAGCGCCCUUACCGCCAUUUUUCAGCGUGGGGCUUGUUGAUGCAUGAGACGCUCCAGGCACUUUAAUUAAAGUGCCCCCCACUCCCAGAGCACAUAUAUAAACACCCCUAGAUGUCAAUGGGAGUUUGCCAUUGAAUCUGUGGACCCCAGGUUGAAAACCACUGUUCUAAAAAACACAGAUUGAAUAUGGCCCUGUGUACAUGUUAGACUUAAGGUAUGAUUAAUUAAUCAGUUACUGGUGUGAUAAAAAGAGGAAUAAGCUACAAAGUUAUUCCACAUAUUUAGCUGCUUCCUAUCAUGCCAUUCAUUGAUUGUGUGGCCAGGGACCUCUGUGGCUGGGAGCCCUGUCAGUUAAUUGGUGCUCCCAGCUGUGUGGGCCUACAUGCACUCCUGAGCUUGAUAGCUCCCAGCUGACAGGGCUUCCAGCUGAAGGGGUGCAUGGUGCACCCCUAUGACUGGGUGCCCCAUCAGCUCCCAGCUGUGGGAGCUUGUUUCUUGCUGGUACGGGGGAGCCCAGGAUUGAGUUGGCACAUGUGGUAUGGCAAUUGUGCGGAUUGCAUAUUAGAUCCCAUCACACCUAUACCUUCAUGUGUUGAGGGGCCCUAAAGGACCACACUAAUAUUUUGAAGGUUUCAUACUGGGGGUUGACUAUGGUUGACUAUAUUCCCACAGCCAGUGCUGAGUCGAAGAGUUAUUCUUAUAGAAAUAUCCACCGUUCAGAUUUCAUCCACUGAUGAUUCAGUUAAUCCUAAAGACAAUCUUGAAAUCAUUAAUAAGGAUAGUCCUUUUAUUCUUUAAUGAAUUGCCUUUUUCUGUAUUGGAGAAGAAAUUAUGAAACAAUCCAUUCAUAUCUAUUGAACCAUCUUGAGAUGUUGAUUUGUAUCUGUACUAAAUUGGUAUAUGGUAUUCAGAAAAGGCACUUCUUCUCUUUAAAUCUGAUCUUUCUAGAGCUUUUAAUCAGCAGAACUAUAGAACAACAAACCCAGCUAUGCCCCACUCUCUGUCUUUUAACCACCUGUCCCCUUAUAAACCUACUUCUGCUUUUAGUAAGAUAAGGCUUAUGGGAAGGGGGUGGAAGGCAGCAGUGAGCCUGGAGAAAGGCGUCAAAGGAGUAGGAGAUGGAUUUCAGGUAGGAUCAGAAGAAAAUGUUACAUUAAUAUUUAUAGUAUGAAUUGACUAUAUUCAAGCUUCUGUUUUCACACACAAUCAGCAUUAAAUAUCUCUGUUCCUAUAGUAAUAAAGUAAAGGUACUUCUAUUCAGAGAGCACUAUAGAAGAAAAAGGUGAUUUGACUUGGUAUAUAUUACUGCUGAGAUACAAUCCCACUACCUUGUAUAAAACUGUUUUUUAAAAUACAAAAAACGAAUGCCAUUGAAAUCUAUGGCUUGACAGAGCUCUGAAUUUCUUCUUUGAUUUAAUUCACAUGCUGAACAAAUAUUGUACCUGAAGAUGGGGGAGAAGCUGUGAAGUUACUUAGGUAUUGAUUUUAGUUUGUAGAAUUUAUGAGUUGGAGCUGAAAACUGGUCUUAAACUUGAAAGCUAAUUUCAGCAUUAAAUACAGAGAGGUGCUGUCCUGGUUUUCUACUGUCCUGAGUUUCCCUUAUAACGCUGAUAGAAUAAAAAGUUCCCAGGGCAGGUGAAAAUAUCCCCAGGGAAAACCUCUUUGAAGACCAGUGUUCCAUAGUUAACACAGAGCUGACAGAAUAGCUCCUUUUAAUGUUAGGUGUAUGUUGGGGAAAGGAGGAGGAAUGGAAAUUAUUCUUGGCUGUCCAGGGCUAAUCAGAGUAUAAGUAAGAGCAGUCUUGUGGAAUACAAGGAGUACUUACAGCAUCAACACAAGUGUGGGUCAAUGGAGAGUUGGGUCCAAAAUCUUUUUAUUGAAAGUAGAGUGUAGUGAAGUAUCUAUUUGAUGUUGUGAUGCAUGAAUAUAGAUAUGUAAAGUCAGCGUAGAAACUAAAAAUGUAAAGAGUUUUCCUCUGCUAAAAAUAUCCUGUAGAUUUUGUGCAUUUAUGCCUAUGUUGAUACAGCUUUCUGUAUGAAUAAUUCAAAAGUCUGGGCAAAUAUGUCCAAUGAAUCUCAGAUAUCAAAACAACAUGUUCUGGCAUCUAUUGAGGACACCUUCUGGCUGACAUCAAAAACUGGAGGAGAGACUUAUUAAAUAUUGUGCCGAGACAGCAGCUGAAAGAUGCUUACUACCUUGAGGGGAAAUGGUGACCAAUAUGUCAGCUUGUUUUUUACCAUACUUCAAAAAAGUGAUCUAAUUGGUUUAUAGGUUCAUUGUAUAUAAUUUCCUUUGCAGAUGAUCAGCAAUCUGCCAUUUGUGUUGCCAAGUAAAGUAUUUCAAGGCUAUUUAAUAAAAUGGUGAACUUUAGCAGCUUUGUUUUUCUUGUUGCCUUGAUUUCAGGCUUCAUCCAGUGUCUCCUAAAAUGCUACCAUUUUUUAUUAUUAUCUUCUUUUAGUAUAUUGAUUAAUUUUUGAAGCAUAGGCCAAAUAGAAAAGUAAUAGGAUGGAAAUAUGAAGAAUGUUGUUAUAAUGAAUCUUAAAUGACAGAAUUACAGUGCUUGAAAUGUAAAUCAUAACUAAAUAUUUGUUUAACCUCACAAAUGUUUUAUGUUAUGGUUUCAAAAAAUAUGACAGAUAUCACGAUGCUUCUUUCAGAGACUGUACAGUAUGCUAAGCUGGUUAACAAAAAAACCCAGCUAGGUUAUAGGAUUUUCUAUUGACACUGGGAAUGAAUUUUGCAUUCAAAUAUGCUUUUUUCUGAGUGAACCAAAUAUGUGGUUUCCACUUAAGGUAAAAUUCUGUUGUGUACCACUUAAUCUCUCAUUCAGUAUUUAUGUACUUCAUUAGAUGUACAUGGUGCUCUACAACCAUAAUACAUGCCCUCUGUUCCAAGUAGCUAGGUUAGCAGGAAGCUUACAAUCCAGGGCGUCAACUUAGGUUCCUUACCAUGAUAAAUUGUAUGGUGUUGGGGUCCUUGUAGACUGACAUUUCAUCAGGCUUCCCUUAUUUUUUUUUAAAUGGUCUUUAUCUGCACUUGUCUUCUCCUUGAUACUCAAUAAAUUUUGAUACUUGAUAAACAUACAAAAUUUUUGCAGUGAAACAUUUGCAGUUGGAAUAUAGAUCAUCCAUAAAGUUGAAUUUGGAACGUAUACAACUCCUGUACAUUUGUGAAUGCUACUUUUGGAGAUUUUUCAAACUUGUACAGUAGGAUUUAGUUUUAUUGCAGUAGAAAAAAGGAUCUCUACUUUGGGGGAAAAAAUGAAACUGUUCUAUAGCUUGUCAGUCAGAAAAGCUUUUAAGCUGUAUCUAUAAGGUGGACAGUUUAAUGGGUAAGCGAUGUUUGUUCUUCAUUUCAAGUGCAUCAUUGCACUUUAAGUAGUAUAAAUUUAGCCCCCUUAAGCUUGAUCUCCUGUGGCUGAGAUUUAAGUGUUUGAACUUUAGUUGAAAGGAAUAUAUUGAUUAGUCUUUGAUUUAGUCAUUCCCCACUGAAAAGAUACCCUGUAAUGACUUGUACCUGCCCUUUAGUAUUUUUAUUCAUUUAAAGAUUUCCCUCUUCCCCUCUCCAACAACUUUGCCUAAAAGACUGCAGUACUAUAAGGAGGAGAAAAGAAAAAGCAGCUGUCACACUGGGAACAUAAUUGAUUCAAUAAAUAACAUUUUUAAAUUCCCAAGGCAAACCUCUGAGUCUUCGCUUAUGUCAAUUAGUGCUCUAUUCUGUAAAUGGUGGCAUGCUUAAUUUAGACUGAUGGGCUAAGUUAGCCAGUUAUUGCCUCUUAUAGAAAGAGUAGUCACAGAAAAUGAACUAAUAUAUACAUGUAUAAUACACAUAAAAUCUCAUCUGAUUUUUAUGAAGAUCUGUGAAAAGUAGUCUUAAAUUAUUUUUUUAAACUAGUGUUGCUUUUUAUUUUCAGUGACUCCAAUUGAACAAGCAUUUUGUUAGCUUGUUGAGCAGAAGAACAUACAGGGUCUCAUGGAAGACCAUGGCAAAAUUGCCCUUUAACUUCAGGAUAUCACCCAUAGGAUGUGAACAUAUUCUAGCAAAGAUUACAGCUGUGCAGAUAAUUUUUUUUUCUUUAGUCCAUUGCGUGGACCAAAAAAAGGCCCCAAAACUGAGAAUAAUUUAGCUUUGGGUCAGAGCCAAACAAAAUGGAAUCAGUCUUUUGCACUGAAUUUGAAACACUUAAAAAGCAUUUUGGGUCAAAACACUUUAUUCAGUCCUCAGUAGAAUGCAUUUUUGGGUAUUCUUUUUAACUUUUUAAUGUAAAUUUGGUCCUGAAAAAUAAUUUCAAAAUGAAACAAUGUUGAAUAGUCUUUUUCAACAAUUUAAUGUUAUAAUUCAGAGUUCAUACAUAUUGGUAACUGCUUGGCCACAGACUUCCUUUAUGUGAUCUUGGGCAAAUUACUUAGGCUUGUCUUUGCAAAGAGAAGGGGAAUGAACCUGCCUAGUCUUUACAGGACUUUACCUCAAGUUACGUAGUUCAAGUUAAUUUUUGAGGAAUGGAUUAGAGGCCUUCUGAGGUUCCUUCCAGCCCUAUUUUCUUCUUUGCUUACAUGAACACCUUUUUUCCUCCUAGCGAAGAUGCAGCCAAUGUCUUCCAGCAUGUUAGUUCCCAUA